rnacentral:pre_miRNA from 1 species
CUCGGGGGGUGGGGGGUCUCUCAGCCCGAAUUGCCAGAGGGUGCAGGCCAGGCCAAGGGACCCCACCAGUGCAUG